CAGUAGCCGCGGUAAUACGAAGGGUGCAAGCGUUAAUCGGAAUUACUGGGCGUAAAGCGUGCGUAGGCGGUGAGUUAAGUCUGCUGUGAAAUCCCCGGGCUCAACCUGGGAAUGGCAGUGGAUACUGGCUCGCUAGAGUGUGUCAGAGGAUGGUGGAAUUCCCGGUGUAGCGGUGAAAUGCGUAGAGAUCGGGAGGAACAUCAGUGGCGAAGGCGGCCAUCUGGGACAACACUGACGCUGAGGCACGAAAGCGUGGGGGGCAAACAGGAUUAGAUACCCCAGUAGUCCCUGUCUCUUAUAC
rnacentral:rRNA from 1 species